rnacentral:rRNA from 1 species
GACGAACGCUGGCGGCGUGCCUAAUACAUGCAAGUCGAGCGGACAGAAGGGAGCUUGCUCCCGGAAGUUAGCGGCGGACGGGUGAGUAACACGUGGGCAACCUACCCUGUAGAUCGGGAUAACAUCGAGAAAUCGGUGCUAAUACCGGAUAAUCAUUUGAAGUGCAUGCUUCGAAUGUAAAAGAUGGCUCCGGCUAUCACUACGGGAUGAGCCCGCGGCGCAUUAGCUAGUUGGUAAGGUAAUGGCUUACCAAGGCAACGAUGCGUAGCCGACCUGAGAGGGUGAUCGGCCACACUGGGACUGAGACACGGCCCAGACUCCUGCGGGAGGCAGCAGUAGGGAAUCUUCCGCAAUGGACGAAAGUCUGACGGAGCAACGCCGCGUGAGUGAUGAAGGUUUUCGGAUCGUAAAGCUCUGUUGUUAGGGAAGAACAAGUGCCGUUUGAAUAAGGCGGCACCUUGACGGUACCUAACCAGAAAGCCACGGCUAACUACGUGCCAGCCGCCGCCGUAAAAC